rnacentral:rRNA from 1 species
UACGAGGGGGGCAAGCGUUGUUCGGAAUUACUGGGCGUAAAGCGCGUGUAGGCGGUUGCCAUAGUCAGGUGUGAAAGCCUUGAGCUUAACUCAAGAAAUGCACUUGAUACUGGGCGACUAGAGGACCGGAGAGGAUAGUGGAAUUCCCAGUGUAGUGGUGAAAUACGUAGAGAUUGGGAAGAACACCAGUGGCGAAGGCGGCUAUCUGGACGGUUACUGACGCUGAAGCGCGAAAGCUAGGGGAGCGAACGGG